CAGCUUAGGGUAAACAUUCACCUAACGAUACCAUUUUCCUACAGCGUCAUAGAGUCGGUCAGUGAUGGUCCUUGUAAACAUCAGUUCACCUGUAGGUAUUAAAUUCUGAUAAAACCCAUUCUUGCUUUUGGUCAAUAUAGAGAAGAAGGUAAGAUUUCUUAGUGCUUUAAGCCUACCAAUGGUAUAAUUACCAUUCAGUGUAGUGUGGUUUCCAGGUGUGGUCCCAAAGCAAUACUUUUUCACAAAUCAUAAGCCGUACACUUGUAACUUCCUAUAUUUUUCGAUUGUUGAUUUAACAUGUAUUUUGCUUUCUCCUUUAGGAGGAGAUAAGAAUGCUGAGGAAGACUCUAUAACCAGGCUUUCCGACAAACCUGGUCCUGAUGAUUCAUGGCCUACAUCGGCUAGCCAAGACUUCGAUUUUGGUACCAAGAAUGUCCCGAAACCACGCAUAGCAAAGCUACUGCAUUCUUCUUGGCAGUUCAUGAAAAACAUGAGAGCAAAACGUGGCACUGUGAAACCAGAAGGUGGAACCUUAUCUGAGGACAACAAUCCUGAUUCUGAAAGUAAAGAUAUGGCUGAAACUCUUUCCAAACCACCAGCCAGAGUUUAUGGCGAUCCUCUUCCUGUUUUACCAUCAUCUAAAUCUCUUCUGAAACCUUCUCUCAAGACGUUAGCUGUCCUUGGUCUUGCAAAG